UACAUGGAUUCUUCGAGGUGA
rnacentral:siRNA from 1 species